rnacentral:rRNA from 1 species
GUUGCCAUCAUUCAGUUGGGCACUCUAGCGAGACUGCCGGUAAUAAACCGGAGGAAGGUGGGGAUGACGUCAAAUCAUCAUGCCCCUUAUGACCUGGGCUACACACGUGCUACAAUGGUUGGUACAACGAGUUGCGAGUCGGUGACGGCGAGCUAAUCUCUUAAAGCCAAUCUCAGUUCGGAUUGUAGGCUGCAACUCGCCUACAUGAAGUCGGAAUCGCUAGUAAUCGCGGAUCAGCACGCCGCGGUGAAUACGUUCCCGGGCCUU